rnacentral:rRNA from 1 species
UACGUAGGGACCAAGCGUUGUUCGGAUUUACUGGGCGUAAAGGGCGCGUAGGCGGCGCGGUAAGUCACUUGUGAAAUCUCUGAGCUUAACUCAGAACGGCCAAGUGAUACUGCAGUGCUAGAGUGUGGAAGGGGCUACUGGAAUUCUCGGUGUAGCGGUGAAAUGCGUAGAUAUCGAGAGGAACACCUGCGGCGAAGGCGGGUAGCUGGGCCGACACUGACGCUGAGGCGCGAAAGCCAGGGGAGCGAACGGG